rnacentral:rRNA from 1 species
GACGUAGGGCGCGAGCGUUGUCCGGAUUUAUUGGGCGUAAAGAGCUCGUAGGCGGCUUGUCGCGUCGACUGUGAAAACCCGCGGCUCAACCGCGGGCCUGCAGCCGAUACGGGCAGGCUAGAGUUCGGUAGGGGAGACUGGAAUUCCUGGUGUAGCGGUGAAAUGCGUAGAUAUCGGGAGGAACACCAGUGGCGAAGGCGACUACCUGGCCUGUUCUUGACGCUGAGGCGCGAAAGCUAGGGGAGCAAACGGG